UCGAGCGAACAGACGAGGAGCUUGCUCCUCUGACGUUAGCGGCGGACGGGUGAGUAACACGUGGAUAACCUACCUAUAAGACUGGGAUAACUUCGGGAAACCGGAGCUAAUACCGGAUAAUAUAUUGAACCGCAUGGUUCAAUAGUGAAAGACGGUUUUGCUGUCACUUAUAGAUGGAUCCGCGCCGCAUUAGCUAGUUGGUAAGGUAACGGCUUACCAAGGCAACGAUGCGUAGCCGACCUGAGAGGGUGAUCGGCCACACUGGAACUGAGACACGGUCCAGACUCCUACGGGAGGCAGCAGUAGGGAAUCUUCCGCAAUGGGCGAAAGCCUGACGGAGCAACGCCGCGUGAGUGAUGAAGGUCUUCGGAUCGUAAAACUCUGUUAUUAGGGAAGAACAAAUGUGUAAGUAACUAUGCACGUCUUGACGGUACCUAAUCAGAAAGCCACGGCUAACUACGUGCCAGCAGCCGCGGUAAUACGUAGGUGGCAAGCGUUAUCCGGAAUUAUUGGGCGUAAAGCGCGCGUAGGCGGUUUUUUAAGCCUGAUGUGAAAGCCCACGGCUCAACCGUGGAGGGUCAUUGGAAACUGGAAAACUUGAGUGCAGAAGAGGAAAGUGGAAUUCCAUGUGUAGCGGUGAAAUGCGCAGAGAUAUGGAGGAACACCAGUGGCGAAGGCGACUUUCUGGUCUGUAACUGACGCUGAUGUGCGAAAGCGUGG
rnacentral:rRNA from 1 species